rnacentral:rRNA from 1 species
UACGUAGGGUGCGAGCGUUAAUCGGAAUUACUGGGCGUAAAGUGUGCGCAGGCGGCGUCGCAAGUCGAGUGUGAAAGCCCCGGGCUUAACUUGGGAAUUGCGCUCGAAACUACGAUGCUGGAGUAUGGCAGAGGAAGGUGGAAUUCCACGUGUAGCGGUGAAAUGCGUAGAGAUGUGGAGGAACACCGAUGGCGAAGGCAGCCUUCUGGGCCAAUACUGACGCUCAUGCACGAAAGCGUGGGGAGCGAACAGGA